GCUAGUUGGUGGGGUAAAGGCUCACCAAGGCGACGAUCUGUAGCGGGUCUUAGAGGAUGAUCCGCCACACUGGAACUGAGACACGGUCCAGACUCCUACGGGAGGCAGCAGUGGGGAAUUUUGGACAAUGGGCGCAAGCCUGAUCCAGCCAUGCCGCGUGAGUGAAGAAGGCCUUCGGGUUGUAAAGCUCUUUCGGCCGGGAAAAAAUCGCUUGGGUUAAUACCCUGAGUGGAUGAUGGUACCGGAAUAAGAAGCACCGGCUAACUACGUGCCAGCAGCCGCGGUAAUACGUAGGGUGCGAGCGUUAAUCGGAAUUACUGGGCGUAAAGCGUGCGCAGGCGGUUUUGUAAGACAGGCGUGAAAUCCCCGGGCUCAACCUGGGAACUGCGUAUGUGACUGCAAGGCUAGAGUAUGGCAGAGGGGGGUGGAAUUCCACGUGUAGCAGUGAAAUGCGUAGAGAUGUGGAGGAACACCAAUGGCGAAGGCAGCCCCCUGGGCCAAUACUGACGCUCAUGCACGAAAGCGUGGGGAGCAAACAGGAUUAGAUACCCUGGUAGUCCACGCCCUAAACGAUGUCAACUAGGUGUUGGGUGGGUAAAACCAUUUGGUACCGUAGCUAACGCGUGAAGUUGACCGCCUGGGGAGUACGGCCGCAAGGUUAAAACUCAAAGGAAUUGACGGGGACCCGCACAAGCGGUGGAUGAUGUGGAUUAAUUCGAUGCAACGCGAAAAACCUUACCUACCCUUGACAUGCCAGGAACUUGCCAGAGAUGGCUUGGUGCCCGAAAGGGAGCCUGGACACAGGUGCUGCAUGGCUGUCGUCAGCUCGUGUCGUGAGAUGUUGGGUUAAGUCCCGCAACGAGCGCAACCCUUGUCGUUAAUUGCCAUCAUUUAGUUGGGCACUUUAACGAGACUGCCGGUGACAAACCGGAGGAAGGUGGGGAUGACGUCAAGUCCUCAUGGCCCUUAUGGGUAGGGCUUCACACGUCAUACAAUGGUCGGUACAAAGGGUUGCCAAGCCGCGAGGCGGAGCCAAUCCCAGAAAGCCGAUCGUAGUCCGGAUCGCAGGCUGCAACUCGCCUGCGUGAAGUCGGAAUCGCUAGUAAUCGUGGAUCAGCAUGUCACGGUGAAUACGUUCCCGGGUCUUGUACACACCGCCCGUCACACCAUGGGAGCGGGUUCCGCCAGAAGUAGGUAGCCUAACCGCAAGGAGGGCGCUUACCACGGCGGGGUUCGUGACUGGGGUGAAGUCGUAACAAGGUA
rnacentral:rRNA from 1 species